CCUACGGGAGGCAGCAGUAGGGAAUCUUGCGCAAUGGGCGAAAGCCUGACGCAGCCAUGCCGCGUGAAUGAUGAAGGUCUUAGGAUUGUAAAAUUCUUUCACCGGGGACGAUAAUGACGGUACCCGGAGAAGAAGCCCCGGCUAACUUCGUGCCAGCAGCCGCGGUAAUACGAAGGGGGCUAGCGUUGCUCGGAAUUACUGGGCGUAAAGGGAGCGUAGGCGGAUAGUUUAGUCAGAGGUGAAAGCCCAGGGCUCAACCUUGGAACUGCCUUUGAUACUGGCUAUCUUGAGUACGGGAGAGGUGAGUGGAACUCCGAGUGUAGAGGUGAAAUUCGUAGAUAUUCGGAAGAACACCAGUGGCGAAGGCGACUCACUGGCCCGUUACUGACGCUGAGGCUCGAAAGCGUGGGGAGCAAACAGGAUUAGAUACCCUGGUAGUCCACGCUGUAAACGAUGAGUGCUAGUUGUCGGCAUGCAUGCAUGUCGGUGGACGCAGCUAACGCAUUAAGACACCUCCGCCGUCGGGGAGGUACGGUCGGCGAAGAAUUAAAACUUAACAAAUAGAAGUUAGUACGGCGUGAGACGUCGCCGACGGACGACGACGAGGGAGUUAGG
rnacentral:rRNA from 1 species